rnacentral:rRNA from 1 species
GGGUCAGUAGGUUGGUCGUGCCACCGGUACGUACUGGUCUCACUGAUUCCUCCUUCCUGAAGAACCGUAAUGCCAUUAAUUUGGUGUUGCGGGGAAACAGGACUGUUACUUUGAAAAAAUUAAAGUGUUUAAAGCAAGCCAACGCUUGAAUACAUUAGCAUGGAAUAAUGAAAUAGGACGAUCGAUCCUAUUUUGUUGGUUUCUAGGAUUGACGUA